rnacentral:rRNA from 1 species
CCUACGGUGAGCUGCAGUGGGGGAUAUUGCACAAUGGGGGGAACCCUGAUGCAGCGACGCCGCGUGGGUGACGGAGUGCUUCGGCAUGUAAAGCCCUAUCGGCAGGGAAGAAGCAAGACGGUACCUGACUAAGAAGCCCCGGCUAACUACGUGCCAGCAGCCGCGGUAAUACGUAGGGGGCGAGCGUUAUCCGGAUUCACUGGGUGUAAAGGGAGCGUAGACGGCCAUGCAAGCCAGGGGUGAAAGCCCGGGGCCCAACCCCGGGACUGCGCUUGGAACUGCAUGGAUGGAGGGCGGGAGGGGCAGGCGGAAUGCCGGGGUGAGCGGUGAAAUGCGUAGAGAUCAGGAGGAACCCCGGCGGCGAAGGCGGCCUGCUGGACCGCGACUGACGUUGAGGCUCGAAAGCGUGGGGAGCGAACAGGAUUAGAUACCCGGGUAGUC